UACGUAGGGGGCGAGCGUUGUCCGGAGUUACUGGGCGUAAAGCGCACGAAGGCGGUUUCGUACGUCUGGAGUGACAGUUCCCGGCUCAACUGGGAAAGGUCUUCGGAAACGGCGAGACUUGAGGGCUUCAGAGGGACACGGAAUUCCGGGUGGAGUAGUGAAAUGCGUAGAGAUCCGGAGGAACACCAAUGGCGAAGGCAGUGUCCUGGGAAGCAUCUGACGCUCAGAUGCGAAAGCUAGGGGAGCGAACAGG
rnacentral:rRNA from 1 species